rnacentral:rRNA from 1 species
CAGCCGCCGCGGUAAUACGUAGGGUGCAAGCGUUAAUCGGAAUUACUGGGCGUAAAGCGUGCGCAGGCGGUUUUGUAAGACAGAGGUGAAAUCCCCGGGCUCAACCUGGGAACUGCCUUUGUGACUGCAAGGCUAGAGUACGGCAGAGGGGGAUGGAAUUCCGCGUGUAGCAGUGAAAUGCGUAGAUAUGCGGAGGAACACCGAUGGCGAAGGCAAUCCCCUGGGCCUGUACUGACGCUCAUGCACGAAAGCGUGGGGAGCAAACAGGAUUAGAUACCCGUGUAGUCCCUGUCUCUUAUAC